GGACGGGUGAGUAAUAUAUCGGAACGUAUCCAUUAAUGGGGGAUAACUAACCGAAAGGUUGGCUAAUACCGCAUACGCCCUGAGGGGGAAAGCUGGGGAUCUUCGGACCUGGCGUUAAUGGGGCGGCCGAUACCUGAUUAGCUAGUUGGUGGGGUAAAGGCCUACCAAGGCGACGAUCAGUAGCUGGUCUGAGAGGACGACCAGCCACACUGGGACUGAGACACGGCCCAGACUCC
rnacentral:rRNA from 1 species